rnacentral:rRNA from 1 species
GGGGGGGGGGGGGGGGGGGGGGGGGGGGUGGGGGGGGGGCGGGGGGGGGAGAGGGGUGCUGCUGUGAUGUUAGCGGGGGGCGGGGGGGUAACACGUGGAGCACCUGCCUAUAGGGCUGGGAUAACUUCGGGAAGCCGUAGCUAAUACCGGGUAAUAUUUUGAACCGCAUGGUUCAAAAGUGAAAGACGGUCUUGCGGUCACUUAUCGAUGGAUCCGCGCUGCAUUAGCUAGUUGGUAAGGUAACGGCUUACCAAGGCAACGAUGCAUAGCCGACCUGAGAGGGUGAUCGGCCACACUGGAACUGAGACACGGUCCAGACUCCUACGGGAGGCAGCAGUAGGGAAUCUUCCGCAAUGGGCGAAAGCCUGACGGAGCAACGCCGCGUGAGUGAUGAAGGUCUUCGGAUCGUAAAACUCUGUUAUUAGGGAAGAACAUAUGUGUAAGUAACUGUGCACAUCUUGACGGUACCUAAUCAGAAAGCCACGGCUAACUACGUG